rnacentral:tRNA from 1 species
AAGCGGGUUAGUGUAAUGUUAACAUUUUUGGCUCAUGACCAAAAGAUUGGGGUGCAAUUCCUCAACCCGCUUA